AAAAGGACUGGGGUGAAGGAAGCCUUCAGAGAUCCAACUACCGAUUUACAGGGAAUCCAUGGGACAGAAGAACAUGUUAGACUAUACUGAGGAGAUGUAAUCAAACUCAGACUGAGAAAUUCUACAGGACAUAAAAGCACAAUUCUUCAACAAAGAAAUUGCAAGAGAAAAAAAAAAGAUGAAAGUGGAAUCUCAAAAUUAAAAGAAACUCAAAAGACUACCAUCAUUUUACCAUAGGUGGCUCUAAUUUCACUCCUGAUUAAAAUAAGCAAGGGGAAGAAAACCUAUCUGUAAAAUUUAUGAGACGAAUAUUUGAAAGUACAUGUUCGAUAUUAACUAAUUAUUUUUAGGUGUGAUAAUGGUAUUUUAGUUACGUUUAAAGGCAAGUUAUUAUCUUUUAGGGUUUCACACUGAAAUAUUUAUAGAUGAAAUCAUAUGAUAUCUGGGAUCUGCUUCAAUAUAGUGGAGGGGAAGGAACAGAUGGAGGUGAUGAUAUAGCACAAUUGGCCAUGGGCUUAUGGUUAUUGGCACCGGAUGUAUACCUGGGAAUUCAUUAUAUCAUUUUAUCUGCUUCUGAGUGUAUUUGAAAUUCUCCAUAAUAAAACAAUAAUAUCAA